rnacentral:sRNA from 1 species
CCAUCUUCUUCGGGGAGAGGGAUGAGAACCUUCGAUCAAGGUUCGAGUCGAACAUCGCGAGACAACGCGCGCAAGCGCGGCCCGCAGGGUGAAACAUUCUUCUAAACCUGCUUCCCGCUUUU